UUGAGAGUCAUUUUGUCAUGCCUUUGCCCUACAUCUCAUCUACAGGCUUGAAGUUGGGAAGCAUACUGACACACUUUCUAGUUAGGAAAUGACAGAGGACAUCUUCAGGAUAUUCACACUACAGGAUGAAGGUGGCCCAAAUCUGAAGGUGCGGUCGCACUAAGCUUAAAACUUGUGAAAUUACUUCAGACCCUGCAGUGAAUAUAGAAUAUCAUAUCCCAGGGAUCCCAGCUGCCCUGUAUAACAUUAUGGGUAUGUUCAAACACACAAGAGCAUCUGAGAGCAGCAAACACCUAGGAAUGUGUGAAUGCAAAGGACGUGGAAGCCUCGGUCUGAAGAGAGAGAGACUGUAACAGUGAACGAGCGAGCAGGGACGGAGGCUGCAUAUAAAUGUGGCUUUCUAGAGCUGGGCCUCUCUGGGAAUUUGCCAUAGCUCUGUGUGAGGAUAUGUAGUGACCACAGUAUGUGUGUGUAUGAGAGAGAGAGAGAGAGAGAGAGAGAGAGAUUUUUUUUAAAGGGUGUGCUUCUUUUAGAAUACCUGCUAAAAGCAAAUGAAGAGCCACUUGUGCUAACAAAGAGAGAAGAGCAUUGCCUCACAAACAGCCAUCUGAUGUCUGUCUCACAUCAGAUGGCUCAAAUUAGGCCUGUUUAAAUCCCCUCAGGCCUGCAUUUGGCUUUUAAUGCAUGGAGCACUGUGUUGAACAGGACAUUGAUUGUUUGAGGUUUCAGUCAGAGGUCAUAUCAGUGGAAUUGCAUGUCCAAACACUCCUCCCUGGAUAAACUCCAGAUUUACAGAGGAUAACUGCAUUUAUCUCAGAGGAAUGCGGGAUUAUCCGUAGCGUGUAUCUACCUGUGCUAAGAUAAAGAAACCUUUUAUUUUUUUAAUACAGGUUGAAGGCAUUUGGUUUUAUUAAUGGUUCUAGGACAUCUGCAUUUGCCAGUUAACUAAAUAGCUACUAUUCAGCUUAGUUCAGUUCUGUGUUGAUUCAGUUUAGUUCAGUAACAGUGUUCAUCAGUUAUGAAAGAAGUCCAAUUCAGUUAUAUGCAGCUCUACAGAAGGCAAUGGUGUUGUUAUUCAACUCAAGUGAUUCAGUUCAACUCAAUUCAGUAGCAGUGUCAAUGUUGCAAAAUUAAUCUGUUAUGAAACUAUUCUUAUUCAGCUAUAAAGUAGCUCUACAGACAAAAAUAGCUCAAUCCAGAUCAAGUUUUGUUCUCAUCUAAUAGCGAGUAUAAAAUUAUAGCCUAAACUUGCAGAACAGUCAUUUUGGUCCAAUUUAGGAACCAAACAGACUCAUUAAUUAGUUCUUAACCAAGAAAGUCUAAUAAUAUUUAAUAAAAGUUGUCUGUUAGCAAGGUCAUUUCAAUUACAGUUGCUUGGGUGGCUCUUAACAUAUGAUUUGAAAUCUGCCAUUUUUGGGUGUUCUGCUUUCCGGUGUUCAGUUCUGCAUCAUGCUUGUUUUGAGCAAAUCACAAGCCACAAAUACUAAUACGCAUUGUCCAUUUCAUGCUUUUAGAGCCCUGUAAAAAUAACUGUGCACUGGCAACUUGUAUAUCAUUAAUAUGUCAUUAUAUUAUAAAAGUUGCUUGCAAAAAAAAAUGGAUUGCAUCAGAGUUCUCAUCCAAAAAAUACUCAUUGCAGCCAGAUGGUGUAGUUACAGCAUCUACCAGCAGGGGCAAACAGGGCUGUGCUACCCAGCAAAACCUUGACUCUUUUUAUCCAACAGUAUUGGGUUUCAUACAUUUUAACAUUUAUUUGAGAUUUAUUGUCCUCGCACAGAUUAUUAAUGACUCAGCAAGAGGAAAGGAAUGGGUUUGAUGUGACAACUGCAUUAUUAAUAGCUCACAUUUAAAGCUGUGGGAUCCGGGAUGUUCUGGUACUAAGCAUCUAUUGUUCCCUCCUCACAUUCUGAGCUUGUUUGUGUGUGUUCAAAGUCUUAAAUUUGAGGUGAAAAUGAUGAUGAAUGUCUAACUCAAGGUGCUUUUGUGUUCAUGUUAAACGGUGAGAAAUGACUUUUAUGCGUGUAUGUGUGUACAUCUGGAGUGUUUGGUCAGACUCCAUUAACCAAUGCUUGGUCUGCAGGUACGGUGACAACACCAUGAAUCAAAGCCCAUAAGCCUGAGGACUGUGUGUGUGUGUGUAAGAGAGAUGGCAGUGCUUGUUGAAAUAUUCCCCCGCUGGCUGAUUUAAUUACAGUUCAGGCAAAACCCUUUUACAGAGAAUAGCUGUGAUUUCUCACCAUUUAACCUAUUAUUUUAUUUCCAUUCAAGUGCACUCCUCUAAAAUCCUAAAAUACUUACAAAAUCUAGUACUUGGAAAGCAGCUAUGUGGCUGUGAAUUAGGGAAGUAUUUAAAAUUGUUAGCUGGUCAUCCAAAUGAUCUUUUUUUUUCAUAGCCUUUUAAGAGUGUUGCUUUGAAGUUGAUGAAUUUAGAGAUGCAGAUUCCCUGAGAAGGUUUUAGCAUGCUUGGAACAUGUAUAAUCUCAGCCUUAGACCACACUGUCCACAUUCACAACUUGUAACUGCACAAAACUGCGGUUCAUUGCCAAAAUAAGCUGCAGUUUGGCAUGGCUAUCCAGCUUAUUUUGCAAAACAGAAGUAAACUGUUUCUCUUUUUAUAAAGAAUAAUUAACCUAAAAUGCAUAUUUGUAGAAUAGUUAGUCACCCUCAGGGCAUCUUCAUUGUAAGAUAUUUGAAGAAAUUUACAUCACAUCACUUGCUUACCAAUUGAUCCUCUGCAGUGAAUGGGUGCCCUCAGAAUGAGAGUCCAAACAGCUGAUAAAAACAUCCCAAUAAUCCAUAAGUAACUGUCAAGGCUCCAGUUAAUCAGUUAACAUCUUGUGAAAUAAAAAGCUGAAUGAAUCCAUCAUUAAGGCAUUAUAAGUGUAAACCGUCGCUUCCGGACAAAAUGCAGUACGUAACCCAUAAUAAUUCAUCCUCCAGUGAAAAAGCUGAUCUCCUGUUGUCCUGCCACAUCAAAAUCAACCAACAUAUUUGCUCAGAUCUGUUUUGGACUGUUUUUUCUUAUAAAUAGUGCUUGGUCUGAGCAUAUUUGUCUCCUGAUCAGAUGAAAUUUUCACUUUUGCACUAUUUUAGCUGGUGACCCGAGUUUAGUUUCCAUUGUGAGGUCCUUUGCUGAUCCUGUUUCCCUCUCUCUGCCCUGUACUUUUCUGUUUGAUCUGUAAUGUCCUAUCCAAUGAAGGCACAAAAAGGCCAAAAAUAUAACUUAAAAAUGAUUAAGCUAUGAUUAUUGUGUUUGGACAAACUUUCCCAACUU